AGUGGCGACGGGUGAGUAACACGUGGGCAAUCUGCCCUUCACUCUGGGACAAGCCCUGGAAACGGGGUCUAAUACCGGAUAACACUCUGUCCCGCAUGGGACGGGGUUAAAAGCUCCGGCGGUGAAGGAUGAGCCCGCGGCCUAUCAGCUUGUUGGUGGGGUAAUGGCCUACCAAGGCGACGACGGGUAGCCGGCCUGAGAGGGCGACCGGCCACACUGGGACUGAGACACGGCCCAGACUCCUACGGGAGGCAGCAGUGGGGAAUAUUGCACAAUGGGCGAAAGCCUGAUGCAGCGACGCCGCGUGAGGGAUGACGGCCUUCGGGUUGUAAACCUCUUUCAGCAGGGAAGAAGCGAAAGUGACGGUACCUGCAGAAGAAGCGCCGGCUAACUACGUGCCAGCAGCCGCGGUAAUACGUAGGGCGCAAGCGUUGUCCGGAAUUAUUGGGCGUAAAGAGCUCGUAGGCGGCUUGUCACGUCGGAUGUGAAAGCCCGGGGCUUAACCCCGGGUCUGCAUUCGAUACGGGCUAGCUAGAGUGUGGUAGGGGAGAUCGGAAUUCCUGGUGUAGCGGUGAAAUGCGCAGAUAUCAGGAGGAACACCGGUGGCGAAGGCGGAUCUCUGGGCCAUUACUGACGCUGAGGAGCGAAAGCGUGGGGAGCGAACAGGAUUAGAUACCCUGGUAGUCCACGCCGUAAACGUUGGGAACUAGGUGUUGGCGACAUUCCACGUCGUCGGUGCCGCAGCUAACGCAUUAAGUUCCCCGCCUGGGGAGUACGGCCGCAAGGCUAAACUCAAGGAUUGACGGGGCCCGCACAGCAGCGGAGCAUGUGGCUUAAUUCGACGCAACGCGAAGA
rnacentral:rRNA from 1 species